GUUCGGUUUCUGCAUCCCUCCUUGGUGGAAGGCUGUGCUGGGACUGGGAAAAGCUGGGGAACUUCCUGCUUAACUCGACGCUCUUGGGAAGCCACACAUAUCUAGACAUUCACUGAGUACUUACAAGUGCCCAGCACUGUGGCAGCCACCCAGAAAGUGACACUGAAGGAGCCCUGAUGUCUGCCUAUGGGGCCAUGGACCCACAAGGUGCACACUUCAGAGCCUGAGCAGAGGGGACAUGUCCCACAGAGAGAUCAUGGGUUAAGACAAGAAGUCACGUGGCAAAAAGGAGCAGUCUUUGUUUUCCUGAAAAGCUCACUCUCUCGAGACCUAACUGGAGUCCUGGGAAUGGCACAUGGAUCUCUUCUGAAGACACCCCAGUGGUCUAACCGCGUUCCACCAGGUUCUAGAGCAGAUUGGCUGAACUACUCUACAGAGGAUGCUGUUCCUCUCACAGCCAUAGGCUGACACAUAAGCAGCCCCGAGCCAGGCGCAGGAUGCUGCCUCUCAAGCUGUGAGGCAGGGACAUCGGUCCCAGAAGAUCCCCAAGCAAUGGGAGCUAUUGCCAUUGUUCUUGGCUGUCCACCAGAGCUUGAGCAUCAGACCCUGUUGCUGAAGACUCCACAGCACUGGACACAGGACAUGAAGACAUCAGUGGUAUUGACGGAGAAGCUCCCGCCUUGCUCGUUAGUUUUCAUACUAAUGGAAGGGGCUAUGUAAGCUGCUGGGGUGGGAGGGAGUAAAGAUCAGUGCUACCCAGCACUGUGGACACUGCAAGCUACAAUAAUGAUCGGAUCGACCAUAUGCCCACAGGAGUUGUCAUGGCACAGAUGUUAGGGGGUGUCGGGGAUAACCAACUGUUUUCUGAUUGGACUUAAGGUCUGCUUCACACAUGCCCAGUACUGUGAAGACAAGAACUCUUGUCUGGGAAGGUCAUAUACAUGGGAAAUGAACCUUCUGCUAUUAAAUUGAAAAAAAAUGGAUAUAGCAUAUAAAGAUGCACAUGCCUGUCCACACCCAUGUCCAGACUCCUAGAGGACAGCAAGCACCUCUCCGACUCCCGAGCUCUGUGGGUCUUCUGCACUACUCCAUGGAAGAUAGCUCACUCUGUCCCAGAAACAUGGCCAUGAGCCCCUUACAGAGACAAAUGAGACUUCUUCGUGGGAACUCUUCACUGGAUCUCUGGAUUUGGUAAAGGUUGUUGGAACUUAAGAGGCAAUGUCAGUCCUCAAGUUCUACCAAGGUUGUUAAUCUACUUAGGGGUGUUUUGUGAUGACUCUAUUGUGGGCUUUCCAUUAACUGCCCAAACUUCUGAGUCUGCCCCUACGGUUUUUCCAGACCUAGUUUCCUGCAGGGUGGCGAGGGUGAGGCACACAGAACUAUCUCAUCCUCUCCCUGGAAGCACAAGAGCAUCCUUCCUAAGAGGACCAGGGACGGGGAAGGGUGAGUUCACGGACUUCCUCAGAGCCUCGUUCUCCUGCAGAUACAUGCAAUGGACGAGGUCAUCUGGGUCGUCUCCAGGCUUAGGAAGGAAAGCCCCACAGCUUCCAGAACAGAUGGAGAAAAACACUGACUAUCUUCAGGCAGGGAGCUAGAGCAGACGCCAGGCUGAGGAGGCCUGGGUGAGACUUUAUUCAGGCUGCUCUUAGGCCUGAUGUCAUGGGAUGGGGGUGGGAGAGCACUCAGUCACAAGGCUGGGAUUGGAGUAUUUAGCUUUGAAAGAACUAAAUCACAGAACAAGGACUACCGAAAAUUCAUCUUCCACUAACCUAUGAGCUCCUUCAAGUCAGAGCAAGUCAGAUUCACAUUUGUUCCCACUCCUUUGUAGGUUACCUGGCACUGAAAAGAUGCUCAAUAAAUAAAUAUAAAUAUAUACGGAAGGCAGAGAGAGGAUGCACUAAGUCCAGCCAUGCCAGUGAGCUGUUCAGGGGCUGCAGGCCUUGCCCUCCCCAUGCCUGCUCUGUCUUCCUUGAAUACUUGGGAUGCUCCCUGGUUCCUCUCUUGGCCCUUCAGGUAGAAUUCCGUGAAUACUUCCUCUCCUGCUUACCUGAUCUUUGGCAUCCCUAAGUCCAUGUUGGCUCACCCCCUCCCCAGCAUUUGGUCACAUGAGUCGAGUCUCUGCUAGUCUCUGUUCAUUAGUAAGCAGAGUUACUUAGGAAAAAGACCUGAGCUUGUCUCUUAGGCUGAGUGACAGGUUUUCCAGCCAGAGGGGUCAGAAGGUCACAUAGCAAGUAACUGAGGUGAAGGUGAAGGGUGGAGAGGGAGGGAAGUGGGAGUGGAAGGCUGCCCCUAAGGAGGGUUGGCCGGUAGAUAAGCAAGGCAGGAAUGCACAGUCUGGGCUUUCAUGAGAGACUCCAUCAGCAAGAACAGGAUGGAGACACCACAACUUGGCUAGCAAGGGUUCAGGCCUCCAGCGCAUGAGGAGAGGAUGACCCUCAGGGAUCUCAGAGGCCAGUGGUCCUGAAGAGUCCCCCUCAGUCUUUCUGAGUUCACAUAAAUGAUCAAAGAAAGCUUAAGAGGUACUCUCAGUAUUUUCAAAGACUUAAUGAAAUUCCCAUAUGGUAAGAUUGCAGAGGGUAAAAUUAAAAGGUUGCCUGCCUUUGCCUUUGGCUAAGGUUUUAUCAGCAUGGCAUCCCCACAGAGAAAUAAAUUACCUGAUUACAUUAAACUUGAUGAAUAAAAUCUUUCAAGAUGUGCUCCUGAGUCCUUACGGACCAUGUUGGAGCAUCUCUGUCCUGUUCUUAAAUUCCUCGUGUCCCUCAGAAAAGCCAGUUUGUUGGUACCCAGAUGUCACAUUCCUGCUGUACUAAAGAUGUCUUGUUGUCCCUGUCUGCUCAUCAGCCACCAACUGUAAUUCUAAUAACUUCAUCCCCAGCCGAGAUGGCCCUGAGAGACCACACAGCUGACCACAGCAGGCCUCAGGCUUGGAUGAAAUCAGCAGAUGCUAGCCGCCUGCCCUCUCGGCAACCCCAUGUGCCUGGUUUUGUUACUCCUUCCUAAAUGGAACCUUCUUUGGUUGCUAACUCAGCAUCCCCCUUCUGUUGCACACCUCCACUGAGGCCGGGUGUGGACUCCCAUCUGUAAGCCCACAGCUGCCAGGUGAGAGGGUCUCCAGAUCUUCGAGCAGCAGUCUGAUUUAUGAUGCGUCUAUCAGCCCUGGUAGCAAUGGUGUCAUCUAAGACAGCUGUUUCCUUCCUUCUUCCUUCUCUAAACCAAUCCUGUGUUCAAAACUCAAGUCACUGAAGAGUGGUAACUCAGGUGACUGAUAGAAAAUUGUCAGGAAGUGAAACAGCAUUUAGUUCCUAACUGACCAUCCGUGAGUUGCCCUAAGCAAGCAAGCAAGACAAAGGAAGCUUACAGUUUCCUGGAGAGCCCUCCCUGCCUGUGGCCACAGAUCAAAAGAAGGGAGGGUCAGAGAGCGCAUCCUUGCCCCUGGUGCACAGCCUGCCAAAAUGUUGGUCCUCUCUAGAGUGAGGACAGAUCACUUUUAGGCUCCGGUUUUUCAUCUCUAACAGGAUCAAUAAUAGACUUGCGUCAAAGGAUGAUCAGGAAGAUACAGUGGAAUGAUGGCUUAUCUCCAGAAGGAAGAACAACAGGGAGCGAGUGGGGGAGCGGGGACAUCCGAGCCAGCAUGCUCUCGUGUCUAAAGUAGCCAUGCCUCUUGCUGCUUCAGCAAGCUCAUGAGUUGUCUCUCUCCAACCUUGUCCACAUUAUGCACCUCCCUGUACAAGCAUCCUCUUUAACACACUCACACACCCGGUCACUCCCAUGAUGCUCGAGUUCUUAGCCUGCUUUCAAGGCCAUCACCCGCCUCCGUACUUGGCAUUAAUACCUGGGGGACUCCACAGUGAAACCAACAGACACCUGAGUUCUAAAACUGUCCUCAGUCUUCCCCAUCCCCCCCUAGCAUAGCCUCCAUCUUAGUACAUGUACCCUAACCCAUCAUCUGGCCAGGAUGAAGACCACACGCUAUCCUUGACUUCUCUGCUCCCUCAUUCCCCACGUCCUGUUACCAAGCUCUGUAGCCUCCACUUCCUGCAUCCUGGGCCGCCAUCACCCGCUUCUGUGGCCAUCGAUAUUUCACACCCAGCAGAACGUCUCUUGGGAUCCAUCCCAUCUUCACUGUGUUUCAGGCUGGCUGUGUGCCUCACCCCCAUUCUUCCAGUUUUCCAGCCUUGCUUGCAGUUAGAAGGGAAACACCACUCAGUUUUGACCAAUAAAGUAAAAAGAGCUGUC
rnacentral:lncRNA from 1 species